AUACGUAGGGUGCAAGCGUUAAUCGGAAUUACUGGGCGUAAAGCGUGCGCAGGCGGUUUUGUAAGACAGUGGUGAAAUCCCCGGGCUCAACCUGGGAACUGCCAUUGUGACUGCAAGGCUGGAGUGCGGCAGAGGGGGAUGGAAUUCCGCGUGUAGCAGUGAAAUGCGUAGAUAUGCGGAGGAACACCGAUGGUGAAGGCAAUCCCCUGGGCCUGCACUGACGCUCAUGCACGAAAGCGUGGGGAGCAAACAGGAUUAGAUACCCUGGUAGUCCACGCCCUAAACGAUGUCAACUGGUUGUUGGGGAUUUAUUUUCUCAGUAACGAAGCUAACGCGUGAAGUUGACCGCCUGGGGAGUACGGCCGCAAGGUUAAAACUCAAAUGAAUUGACGGGG
rnacentral:rRNA from 1 species